rnacentral:rRNA from 1 species
AGUAAUGCUUGGGAAUCUAGCUUAUGGAGGGGGGUAACUACGGGAAACUGUAGCUAAUACCGCGUAGAAUCGAGAGAUGAAAGUGUGGGACCUUCGGGCCACAUGCCAUAGGAUGAGCCCAAGUGGGAUUAGGUAGUUGGUGAGGUAAAGGCUCACCAAGCCGACGAUCUCUAGCUGGUCUGAGAGGAUGACCAGCCACACUGGGACUGAGACACGGCCCAG